rnacentral:rRNA from 1 species
GACGUAGGGGGCGAGCGUUGUCCGGAUUUAUUGGGCGUAAAGAGCUCGUAGGCGGCUCGGUAAGUCAGGUGUGAAAACUCUAGGCUCAACCUAGAGACGCCACCUGAUACUGCUGUGGCUAGAGUCCGGUAGGGGAGCAUGGAAUUCCUGGUGUAGCGGUGAAAUGCGCAGAUAUCAGGAGGAACACCAGUGGCGAAGGCGGUGCUCUGGGCCGGAACUAACGCUGAGGAGCGAAAGCGUGGGGAGCAAACAGG